UGAGGGAAUAUUUGGGGUCAAUGGGGCGCGAGCCUGAACCAGCCAAGUAGCGUGCGGGAAGAAGGCCCUAUGGGUUGUAAACCGCGUUUUACCGGGGGAUAAAGUGAGCGACGUGUCGCUCAUUGCAGGUACCCGGCGAAUAAGGACCGGCUAAUUCCGUGCCAGCAGCCGCGGUAAUACGGAAGGUCCGGGCGUUAUCCGGAUUUAUUGGGGUUUAAAGGGAGCGUAGGCCGGAGAUUAAGCGUGUUGUGAAAUGUAGUGGCUCAACCUCUGCACUGCAGCGCGAACUGGUCUUCUUGAGUACGCACAACGUGGGCGGAAUUCGUGGUGUAGCGGUGAAAUGCUUAGAUAUCACGAAGAACUCCGAUUGCGAAGGCAGCUCACGGGAGCGCAAC
rnacentral:rRNA from 1 species